rnacentral:rRNA from 1 species
CCUACGGGUGGCAGCAGUAGGGAAUCUUUCACAAUGGGCGAGAGCCUGAUGGAGCCACGCCGCGUGCAGGAUGAAGGCCCUCGGGUUGUAAACUGCUUUUAUAAGCGAGAAAUAUGAGGGUAACUUAUGAAUAAGGAUCGGAUAAAAACGUGCCAGCAGGCGCGGUCAUACGUCGGAGCCGAGGAUUAUCCGGAGUGACCGGGUGUAAAGAGUUGCGUAGGUGGGAUAAUGAGUAGCUAGUGAAAUGUGGUGGCUCAACCAUUCAGACUAUUAUCUAAACUGGCAAGCUCGAGACCGUUAGGGGUAACUGGAAUUUCUAGUGUAGGAGUGAAAUCCGUAGAUAUUAGAAGGAACACCAAUAGCGUAGGCAGGUUGCUGGGACGGUUCUGACACUAACGCACGAAAGCGUAGGGAGCAAACGGGAUUAGAUACCCUGGUAGUC